ACAAAAUUUUUGGACAGUGCAACUCUGUUGUCAUCGGUGUCCAUACUUCUCUUUGUGAGCAGUGGAAAGUUAUAAAGAGAUUG